rnacentral:rRNA from 1 species
UACGUAGGCAGCGAGCGUUGUUCGGAAUUACUGGGCGUAAAGAGUGUGUAGGCGGUGUUCCCAGUCUGUUGUGAAAUCUCCCGGCUUAACUGGGAGGGUGCAGCGGAAACUAGAAUGCUAGAGGGUGGGAGAGGUAAGCGGAAUUCCUGGUGUAGCGGUGAAAUGCGUAGAUAUCAGGAGGAACACCUGUGGUGUAGACAGCUUACUGGACCACUUCUGACGCUGAGACACGAAAGCGUGGGUAGCGAACAGG